rnacentral:rRNA from 1 species
UACGUAGGGUGCGAGCGUUAAUCGGAAUUACUGGGCGUAAAGGUGCGCAGGCGGUUAUAUAAGACAGAUGUGAAAUCCCCGGCUCAACCUGGGAACUGCGUUUGUGACUGCAUAGCUAGAGUACGGUAGAGGGGGGGAUGGAAUUCCGCGUGUAGCGGUGAAAUGCGUAGAGAUCGGGAGGAACACCAGUGGCGAAGGCGGCUACCUGACCAGCACGUGACA